rnacentral:lncRNA from 1 species
UCAUCCCCAACCUCACAAACCCCCGCUCAUCACCGCUUCUCAAAUCCACCACCACACAUAUCUGCCGCGCCGCUCACCAACAUCUCAAAAACCGACCACAAAACCAAUCGCUGCCACCACCUUCAGCCUCCGCCGAUCUAACACCGUGACCUACUCAUCUCUGGUUGGAAUUGGUUUUCGGCACAAAUCCAGAGAAGCGGAUCCGGACAGGGUAACAAAGGAAGUUUCGAGCUCCGGAGAACAACUCGUAUCAUCCGUCGACGAGUUCACCCAGCUCAGCUUACGGCGGUUGAGUCAAAAGCGAGGAAGCUUCAAAGGAUCGAAAGUGAUAACUCAUAGCACAGCAGUAAGAGCUAGCAGCAAACAACAAAUCCAAACAGUGUCAUUGAUGAGGCAAUAAUCGGUAAUGUUUCGGUUAUGGAUCACGUUUGAAUCUCUAUUUGGACAUGCUGUUCUGAGUGUUUAUCAUUAAUAGUGUAAAACCAAUUUGACUGAUGCAUCAUUUUCUGCUUGAAAUUAGUUUUCGGGAACAAUUUGAUGGACGUGUGCUGUAGGUAUUCAUUGUACCGUUUCGAUUCCAAGUUAGCCAUGUCAUAGCUGUGGAUUUCGACCGUAUCUUUAUCAGAUAAUUAUCACUCAUCUUCAGGGUUAAUGAUGUAGCAUUGUAUGUUUGGUUUGCAUAUUUGGGGUUAAGUUCAUUGCCAUUCCAGUUGCUCAUAGGAUGAGAGUUUUAUUUAUGAUAGCUUUUGAACUGUUUGCGAUUGAAUACUGUUCGAAAAGAUGAACAUGGUUUGAUUUUUGUUAUUAACUAUUAUUUAUUUAUCAAUUGUCAAUUCUACUCCAUUUUGGAAGAUUGGGUCUUUUAACAGUGAAUGUUGUUUUUCUGGUUAAGUUUAUUCAAUCAUCCUUCACUCUUUAAUUUGAGGCAAUGUAUUAAGUGGAUAUUUGUUGGUAAUAAUGGAGUUUGUGCUGUGUAAAAUCGAACCCUCAUGUGAUAUAUUGAUGCAACAUUUCAGACAUUAGCUCACUUGUAU